rnacentral:tRNA from 1 species
GGGGAUGUAGCUCAGCUGGAAGAGCACUGCCUUUGCAAGGCAGGGGUCAGGGGUUCGAGCCCCCUCAUCUCCA